CUCACGUGCUUAAAGUUGUAUAAAAGGAAAGUUGGUGUAGUGGCUUCUCUCUCAAGCACCCCGGAUUCAAAACUUCUUGUUCGGGAGAUCACUUUGUGACGUGGCACAUAACAAUUGGGUGACUGUCGACCUGCAUCGGGACCCGAUUUCUACGAUCUCUGCAAGCCCUUCGAGCCUUCGUUUCGGUUCUGCUCUUGAGUUUCGGGAUUGAAGGAAGGCAAAAACCAAUAAUUUUAAAGAGAACCGAGAUAUGGUAAAG